rnacentral:rRNA from 1 species
AGAGUGAACGCUGGCGGUAGGCCUAACACAUGCAAGUCGAACGGCAGCACGGUAAGAGCUUGCUCUUAUGGGUGGCGAGUGGCGGACGGGUGAGGAAUACAUCGGAAUCUACCUUUUGGUGGGGGAUAACGUAGGGAAACUUACGCUAAUACCGCAUACGCCCUUCGGGGGAAAGCCGGGGACCAGCAAUGGCCUGGUGCUGAUAGAUGAGCCGAUGUCGGAUUAGCUAGUUGGUGAGGUAAUGGCUCACCAAGGCGACGAUCCGUAGCUGGUCUGAGAGGAUGAUCAGCCACACUGGAACUGACGACACGGUCCAGACUCCGUACGGGAGGCAGGCAGUGGGGAAUAGUUGGACAAGUGGGCGCAAGCCUGAUCCGAGCCAUACCGCGGUAGGUCGAAGAAGGCCGUUACGGUUAGUAAAGU